rnacentral:tRNA from 1 species
GCAUCAGUGGCUCAAUGGAUAGAGUAGCGGCUUCCGAAGCCGUUGGUUGGGGGUUCGAGUCCCUCCUGGUGCA